GAUGAACGCUGGCGGCGUGCUUAACACAUGCAAGUCGAACGAAGCACCUUGAUUUGAUUCUUCGGAUGAAGAUCUUGGUGACUGAGUGGCGGACGGGUGAGUAACGCGUGGGUAACCUGCCUCAUACAGGGGGAUAACAGUUAGAAAUGACUGCUAAUACCGCAUAAGACCACAGCACCGCAUGGUGCAGGGGUAAAAACUCCGGUGGUAUGAGACGGACCCGCGUCUGAUUAGGUAGUUGGUGGGGUAACGGCCUACCAAGCCGAAGAUCAGUAGCCGACCUGAGAGGGUGACCGGCCACAUUGGGACUUGGACACGGCCCAAACUCCAACGGGAGGCAGCAGUGGGGAAUAUUGCACAAUGGGGGAAACCCUGAUGCAGCGACGCCGCGUGAGCGAUGAAGUAUUUCGGUAUGUAAAGCUCUACCAGCAGGGAAGAAAAUGACGGUACCUGACUAAGAAGCACCGGCUAAAUACGUGCCAGCCGCCGCCGUAA
rnacentral:rRNA from 1 species